AAUAGGUGUAAUACCACCAUUGAUUUUUCCCUAUUAGUCUUUGUUAAAUUGGCACUUUAAAAAAAAUCGUACAGUAUUUACCUUUAUUUCAACCAAAAAAAUACUUUGCAUGUGUAAAGUUCAAUCCUUUCCAGUGAUACAGUGAAAAUUUCACACUACAUUUCAUUGCAUAUAAGAAAGUAACCACCGCCGAGGGUAGACAACCC
rnacentral:lncRNA from 1 species